rnacentral:rRNA from 1 species
UUCGCCCUUAGAGUUUGAUCCUGGCUCAGGAUGAACUCUGGCGGCGUGCUUAACACAUGCAAGUCGAGCGGAGAUACAUCAGAGCUUGCUCUCUAGUGUCUUAGCGGCGGACGGGUGAGUAACGCGUGGGCUACCUGCCUCAUACAGGGGAAUAACCGCGGGAAACCGCCACUAAUACCCCAUGUCACCGAGAGAAGGCAUCUUUUUUCCGAAAAAGGAAAAAUCCGGUAUGAGAGGGGCCCGCGUCUGAUUAGCUGGUUGGUGGGGUAACGGCCUACCAAGGCAACGAUCAGUAGCCGACCUGAGAGGGCGAUCGGCCACAUUGGGACUGAGACACGGCCCAAACUCCUACGGGAGGCAGCAGUGGGGAAUAUUGCACAAUGGAGGGAACUCUGAUGCAGCAACGCCGCGUGAAGGAAGACGGUUUUCGGAUUGUAAACUUCUAUCAACAGGGACGAAAAAAAUGACGGUACCUGAAUAAGAAGCCCCGGCUAACUACGUGCCAGCAGCCGCGGUAAUACGUAGGGGGCAAGCGUUAUCCGGAAUUACUGGGUGUAAAGGGUGAGUAGGCGGCAUGCCAAGUUAGAUGUGAAAGCCCGGGGCUUAACUCCGGGAUUACAUUUAAAACUGUUAAGCUUGAGUACAGGAGAGGUAAGCGGAAUUCCUAGUGUAGCGGUGAAAUGCGUAGAUAUUAGGAAGAACACCGGUGGCGAAGGCGGCUUUCUGGACUGAAACUGACGCUGAGGCACGAAAGCGUGGGGAGCAAACAGGAUUAGAUACCCUGGUAGUCCACGCUGUAAACGAUGGAUACUAGAUGCAGGGGGUAUUCACUCCUUCUGUGUCGCAGCUAACGCAUUAAGUAUCCCGCCUGGGGAGUACGGCCGCAAGGUUGAAGCUCAAAGGAAUUGACGGGGGCCCGCACAAGCAGCGGAGCAUGUGGUUUAAUUCGACGCAACGCGAAAAACCUUACCAAGACUUGACAUCGCAUGACAUCAAUGGAAACAUUGCUUCUCUUCGGAGCAUGCAGACAGGUGGUGCAUGGUUGUCGUCAGCUCGUGUCGUGAGAUGUUCGGUUAAGUCCGAUAACGAGCGCAACCCUCAUUACUAGUUGCCAAUAUUAAGUUAGGAACUCUAGUGAUACUGCCGUGGAUAACACGGAGGAAGGUGGGGAUGACGUCAAAUCAUCAUGCCCCUUAUGUCUUGGGCUACACACGUGCUACAAUGGCUAUUACAAAGAGCUGCGAACUCGCAAGAGUAAGCGAAUCUCAAAAAGAUAGUCUCAGUUCGGAUUGUGGGCUGCAACCCGCCCACAUGAAGUCGGAGUUGCUAGUAAUCCCGAAUCAGCAUGUCGGGGUGAAUGCGUUCCCGGGCCUUGCACUCACCGCCCGUCA